AUUGAACGCUGGCGGCAGGCCUAACACAUGCAAGUCGAGCGAGCGGCGGACGGGUGAGUAAUGUAUGGGGACUGCCCGAUAGAGGGGGAUAACUACUGGAAACGGUGGCUAAUACCGCAUACUAUCGGAUAACCCAUAUGGGAUUAGCUAGUAGGUGGGGUAAAGGCUUAACUAGGCGACGAUCUCUAGCUGGUCUGAGAGGAGGAUCAGACACACUGGGACUGAGAAACGCCCCAGACUCCUACGGAGGCAGAAGUGGGGAAUAUUGGACAAUGGGCGCAAGCCUGAUGCAGCCAUGCCGCGUGUAUGAAGAAGGCCUUAGGGUUGUAAAGUACUUUCAGCGGGGAGGCGGUACCCGCAGAAGAAGCAACGGCUAACUCCGUGCCAGCAGCCGCGGUAAUUC
rnacentral:rRNA from 1 species